UACGUAGGGUGCAAGCGUUGUCCGGAAUUACUGGGCGUAAAGCGCGCGCAGGCGGUUCUGUAAGUCCUGGGUGAAAUCGCCCGGCUCAACUGGGCGGGGGCCUGGGGGACUGCGGGACUGGAGGGGCCUAGAGGCCGGUGGAACUCCCGGUGUAGUGGUGAAAUGCGUAGAGAUCGGGAAGAACACCAGUGGCGAAGGCGGCCGGCUGGGGGCGCCCUGACGCUGAGGCGCGAGAGCGUGGGGAGCAAACCGG
rnacentral:rRNA from 1 species